GUGAUCCUCAGCAGAAUAGGAAACCCAGUAAUACUACAUUUUUACUGAACAAAUUAAGACUUUGACAACCUUUCUUCCCCCACCCCCCCCCCUCCUUGUUUUCUUUCUUUUGGGAAACACUUGGGUACUUUGUGUUAGGUACUGCAGUCAGCUAGAGAUCCAGAAAGCAGCUGUCAUUGCUGCACAGAAGCCCAUAAUCUCAGAAGAAGCCAGGGUGUGUCCAUGAAGGUGGGCAGGAAGCUCCACUCAAGAGAGCUGCAUGGUACAGUACUGCAAAACCAAAAAUCACUGGUAGGAGAUCCACGUGGAAAGAUGUAGGGCAUGGGGAGGUCGAAUGUGGGACGAUUUCUCAGUGUGUAAGGAGCUGGACAAAUGUCUAUAUACAGGCUCACUGAGGAAGGGCAGAUGGCUUGGGCUAGAGGACUCUGGAGAGUUGGGGCUCGCCCAGUUGGGAGAACCCCACAGGUUAUUUAUAGAGUUCAGAUGAGCUUAGUAGUUUUGAAGGGCUUUGAAAGGGCAGAGGGGUUAUCUUUGUUGAAUGUUAUGCUUGUUGUAGGUGGAAACUGGACUGGUAUCAGACAAUGCAGAAAUAGGGAAAGUGAGCCUCUAUUAAAGGUUUCUGAGAGAUGUGUAGAUACCUCACGGAAAGUGGUGUGAUGGAGAUAAGUAAAAACACUGCAUUUCAGAUGAAUUUUGAGUCAGAAUUGAUAGGAUGUGCGUUGCAAUGGAAUGUUAGAAGCUGGAAUGGUGGUAAAGGUGACGUUAUUGGUAUCUCCAUUCCAUAUGUUGGGACAGAAAGGAGUAUUUCUCUACAAUUGGCUAUUUCUGUCAUAUUAGUAGUGACGUUCCUACACUAAGGGCACAUAUUUUCCCAGGGUCCUUUAAAGACCACUGAAAAGCCUGCAGUGGUAUGAACAUUGUUGUGGUCUUUUCAAGCAGAAAUACCAUUUCUAAGCAACUUCUAGAAGGGACUAAGCAGAGCUGAGCUGGCUUCCAGAAAAUCUUUGAGCAAAGAUAAUUAUGAGAAUUGAUUCUUGC